rnacentral:rRNA from 1 species
AUGAACGCUAGCGGGAGGCCUAACACAUGCAAGCCGAGCGGUAGAGAUUCUUCGGGAACUUGAUAGCGGCGUACGGGUGCGGAACACGUGUGCAAACUGCCUUUAUCUGGGGGAUAGCCUUUCGAAUGGAAAAUUAAUCCCCCAUAAUAUAAGAGACGGCAUCGUUUUUUAUUGAACACUCCGGUGGAUGGUGAUGGGAACGCACAAGAUUAGAUAGUUGGUGAGGUAACGGCUCACCAAGUCUACGAUAUUUAGGGGGCCUGAGAGGGUGCACCCCCACACUGGUAAUGGGACACGGACCAGACUCCUACGGGAGGCAGCAGUGGGGAAUAUUGGACAAUGGGUGAGAGCCUGAUCCAGCCAUCCCGCGUGAAGGACGACGGCCCUAUGGGUUGUAAACUUCUUUUGUAUAGGGAUAAACCUACCCUCGUGAGGGUAGCUGAAGGUACUAUACGAAUAAGCACCGGCUAACUCCGUGCCAGCAGCCGCCGUAAGAC